GACGUAGGGGGCCAGCGUUGCUCGGAAUUACUGGGCGUAAAGGGUCCGUAGGCGGUGCGGUAAGUCGGGAGUGAAAUCUCUGGGCUUAACUCAGAGGCUGCUUCCGAAACUACCGUGCUAGAGUGCGAGAGAGGCAAGUGGAAUUACGGGUGUAGCGGUGAAAUGCGUAGAUAUCCGCAGGAACAUCCGAGGCGAAAGCGGCUUGCUGGAUCGCAACUGACGCUGAGGGACGAAAGCUAGGGGAGCAAACAGG
rnacentral:rRNA from 1 species